CUUGUAUAAUACCUAGGAUCUCAAUAACAACCAACAGAUAAUAAAGCUUUGACAAUCAAUACCAUGGACACAGAAGACCCUCUAUCCUGACCUUCAAACAACCUUUAUACAAGUAACCAGUAUUUUGCUGUGUCAGUAAAUAACAAUUAUAUAGCUGGAUUAUUAUAUAUUUUAUUGAUAUUUGAGCAAUACUUCCAUAAUACAAUGAGCAUGCAUACACACAUGUUACAAUAAAAUUCUUAAGCUGAAAAUAAGGCAAGAAAAUAGAGGAAAACAAAAAAUUGAUAACAUUAUACUUGGCAAGAGAUUGUACCACAGCUAAAAUUAAAGGCUAUUCUAGGCAAAACAGUGCCUAGAACAAGCAAUUUCAACUGAUGCAAAUUUCCUCAUUACCUUGUUAUCCUUUUUAACACUUGUUAUCAUUUUUAAACAAAAUUUAUAAAAGUUUGUAAUUUGAAUUCACAUCUUAUAAAGAAAAUAUAAUGCUUUUAAAAUUUUGAAUUAAUUUCAAUAAGUUAUAAUUAGAACAAAUUUUGUGACCAACUUUGAUGUUAGGUAAACAAAUUUAGUCAACAGUUGAUUACUCUGCAAAUAUAUGAAUUUCAACACAUUUGAAAUCUCUAAAAGUUGCCAUACAUUCCUGGUUUGUUUUAUUCACUUUGUCUGUGAAAUAUAACUAGUGUUAUACUCCUAAUGGAUCACAUCUCGUCACAUUCUUAUCACAUUCUUAUCAACUGAAUGACUCUGAAGAUUUAGAUAUUAGAGGAAUAGAAUUAUUUAAUUCAUAUUAACAUGAUUUUAUUUUACAUUGAUUUAUAUACAUACGAAUUAUGACAUGAUGUUACAAUGAGUAAAAUGACAAUGAUCAUGUGUCCUAUAUCAUUUUGAUCCUGUCGAUUAAUUAAAUUGUUUAUGUUUGAUAUAACAAAUAAUACCAUGUUUCUUUGGCUUAAAAAUUCACACAUCAGUGGAAAUACAACGUUAAUGUACCCGCAUUUAAAGUCCUGCUUUACCCUUAUAGCUAUGAAUACCUGGCUAUAUAAUUAUGGUGCUUCUUUGAUUGCAGUACUAGGUCAAACAUCAUUUAAGGCUUCUUAAUGUUAAGAAUUGUUUUAUAUAUCCAUGGCAACCUUAAUUUCCCUGAGUUUUACGUCAUUGACAGAAGUACCUUAUGAUUGUCUGUAUGUAUCUAUUAACAAUUUUCCAUCUUAUAAAUAUUUGAAUUCCUAACACAAUUGUAAAACUUUAUGCAAAGGUUUCAAAAAGAAAAUCCAAAUUGGACAAAAAUUGAAUGAUCUAAAGUAAAACAUGACUUUUAAAAAUUUGGCAGUUUGGUGGAAGUUAAAAGGCAUUCAAAUAUUAGUUUGUUUUAAAAAUUUUGUGAUAAUGUAAAUGAAAAUUGAUUUUUAUUAAGACAUUCCUCCAUAUUAUAUACUUAUGAUAUAAUUUAAUCAAUAAGACAGAGUUAACACAUGGGCAUGUAUUGUUUGAUGCUAAUGAUUCUAUAUAAUUUACUUUUUGUGAUAUCAUAAUCAUGAUAAUGUGUAUGUUCUUAAAGCCUAAAGUCAAUCAUUAGACAAUAUCUUGUCAAUAUAUAUAUAUAGUUUUUUCAUGAAAGACAGUAAACUGUUUUCUAAUAAGAAAAAAAUAAUCAGAACUAAUUACCGUGAAUUUAAGCACAUCUAUCAAACUGAAAAUAAUAUAGAUGCAUAGAACUAUCUUUCAUCAAGUUACAUGAUUGUGGGCAACUUAAAAUUUAACUUAAAUGAAAGGUUAAUUGGAGUCCUUAAGGUCAAGGUCAUCUAUUAUAUGUGGUAGGCAGUUAUACAAUCUUUGGGUGAAGAUGCAAAGGAUAUGCUUGGGUACUCCCAGAGGGUAUUGCAAUAGACCCUCAACUUUGUUUAGGAUAACUUAUAAAUGACCUUUCCUUUCAAAUUAUCAAACAAUUGAAAACAAAAUUCUGUACUUAUAAAAAUUAACAAAUAUUUCAACAGACUUUUUUUUAUUUUUUAAUGCAACAUUAUUUAACUCAAAAUUAAGGAUUUACCUAUUUCGGAAUACUUAGUUUAUUUGCUCUUAAUUUGAUACCAAAAAAUAAAAUUGAAAACAUAAUUCUAUUUUUAUGACCUCUGGCAUAUAUGACUUAGUUUCUUCCUGGUAUUUCUUUAAAUACCACCUAAAAUACCUUACAUCAGACAGCUAGGAAAUAUGUAGGCAGGAUUUUAAAACUUUUCCACCACACUACCACAUGUCACAGAACAUGAUAAAUUAAUGUGUAAGUUAUUACAUGAAUAAAUUGACAGAAUUUUUUACAAACAAUAAAAUGGAGAAAUAAGAGGAAUGAAGUGAAUUGAAAGAAUAAUUGACAACAACACGAAUAUUAACAUCAAUGCCCUAUUUGAGAGUCUUGUUGCUUGGUAGUCACAAUUCUUACAUAUUUGCUUUGUCUAUAAUAAUUAUCAGUAUACAUCAAAUAUUCCAAGAUAAGCAUCAACAUACUUAUAAAUAAUGUAUCAAGAUUCUACCUGCCACAAAAUACUUUUAUACAACUAUUACAACUGACAGACGUGAGCCAGCUUAAACAUACUUUUCUACAACUACAUGUACUACAAUUGUCAGACAUGAGCCAGCUAAAAAUAAGACUUCAAUAAUCUCAAUUUACUACAAGCGUUCUAUUUCAUUUACAGAAUUACAGUUUGUCUUCAUGUGUCUAAAAUAUGACUUGACUUUUGGUCACUUCAAAAACACUACUUUUAAUGCCAAUACUGUUGCAUCAAUCUUUCUACUUUUGAUACCCGUCAAUUCUGAAAUUCUUAAUAUAAAUUGUUCAGUUAGGUGUCUAAAUAUCAAUAUAUCCUUACAGUUUACGUUCAAGGAUGGGUCUACAUGUAUGGAAGCUAAAUAUCAAUAUAUCCCUACUGUUUACGUUGAAGUAUGGGUCUAGAUGUAUGGAAGAGGGCAUAAUUGUUCACAAUGGUAUAAAUAUUUUGCCAGACCUAGCAAAGUGAAUUUUUGUUGGACAAUUUCAUGUCAACAACCAAUUGGUAAUGCCCCUCCUCCGUCUGAAGCUCCUACCGAUUUUACAAUUAUUAUAUAUUGAUUUACCCUACUUCUGUGUUCUAAUUAGCACUACCAUCUAAUAUCACUAACUUGGUACUUUGUUAUUGGCGUUCAAUCCACACUGAGACAAAGCAAAUAUGUAGUAACUGUCAACUUAUAACCAAAUUAAAUGUAAAUAUAUAUCUGUACAUAAAUGAUAUGGUGAGGUCAAUUUACAGUGUACACUCGAUCACAUGGUCAUACUGAAAUACCCGUAAAUUAUAAUACUGACCAUUCACAUGCUUCUUUCAUUCUAAAUAUAUGAGAAAUGCAAAAAGAUUUAAAAAUGCAGUCGAUAACAAAAAAGAUAAAUGAAAUGAUUAAAAUACAAUAUAUAACAUUAAAUGAUCAACAAUAAAUAGCAUAAAACAAAACAAAUAGCCAUUUUAUCGUUUACUAUUUACAAUUAUAUAAAUCUCGAGAAAAUAAAUUUAUACUAAUAUAUAUCUUUUAAUUUUUUGAGAACUUUUUGGAUAAAUGUUUGAAUAGAUAUUUAAAGCAUUUUUAAACGUUGAUACCAUAUGAUAAAGCCAGUGAAUUUAAUCCAACACAUUAUUUAAAAUUUGCAAAUUUUAUGAACUGUUUAAACAUGAAUGAAUUUUAAAUUGGAUAUAAAGAUAUAUGUGUAUAAAUUUAUAUUCCACAACACUUCUGUAUUUACGUAAUAUUUGAUGGUAACAUGCCUGAUGAAAACAAGAUUAUAUACAAAAUGUGAUGCAUGUUUAAGACUAGCACUAAUUUCUUAUAGGCUACACCACACUAUAUACUAUAUAACACAUAAAGCUGUAUAUCUUAUUUACAAACAAAACAAUGCCUCCAAACUAGAGGUUUAAUAAAAUGACACUCUUUAAAAUAAAAGUUUAAUUUGACCCGAUAAUGAUGUUUAAAACUUAAUCCUGCUUUUAUAACAUAUGCAGGUGUUUAAAAGCAAACAUGACAAAUGAAAUUCUGUUUAAUAAUAAUUUACAUUUUAUUUAGUGAUUAACUUUUUAAUUUUUAUUAUUGAACAUAAUAUGAAGAAGGCACCAACUUCCAAGUAGAGUUUAAAACUCAAUAUUUUUUUAUGUUAUAUAACUCAUGAAUUACACCUUUGUCUGACUCAGAUUUUGAACAUGAUUUAUAAGAUGAUGGGGACUAUAAUAUCAAGACUAAAUAAAUUGAUUUCCUUUUUUCUAAUGCCAAAUUGUAAAGAGUCAAUAUAGGAGUAAAGAGUAUUGGCCAUCAUGGUAUGUCAAAGUGUACAUGAUUGAUUGAUUGUUAGUUGUUUUGUGUCCAGUGGCAAAUAUUUCAUAUUCAUUUAGGACAAGAAGGAUACAAGAAACCCAAGUUACAUUGUAUAGAUCCAACUUUUGAAUGUCUGUACCGCCACAAACAUUUUCUUUAAAUUUAUGCCUUGACGACAAACAGUUUUUUUUUAGAUUCUGUUUUAACCUUGUAGAUGAUUGUUAUAAUAAUAAAUUUUGCAACAUCUGUCUGAUUAUUUACAUUAAAUCAUUGAGUGACAGUCAAAAUAACAUAAUGGACGUUACAAUGACACAAUAUAACAUGUAUUUAUCUGGAUCCAGAAGGUCUAGGCUGUAGUAGGUUGGGAAUAUUUCUAAUUCUGAUUAAUUUAAUAAUACAUGUUUCUGAUGCAACAGCUGCCACUACGUGUACAUUUUUUAAUUUUAUUUAUAGUAUUCAAUAGUCCUCAGAAAUACUCUUAUUCAUCCAACGACUGAAAAUUAGAAAAACUAAUUCUACUACCGAUUGCCUACUAAAAGACAGACUUUCUCGUAUCUUUCGCAUUUUUUUUUCAAUUCGUCUACAAUUACCUUAUAUAGUUUUAGUAACAUUUAACUAAAUCUGAUAGACUUAUUUGGUAAACAUAUUUCAAGACAUUAUAGAAUAGAUUUAAAAUACUUUCUCAUAUUUUAUAUUCAAGGGCAAAAAGGAGACUUAAUUCACAGUAUCAAAAAUCAUUUCAUAGAAAAUUUUGAAUUAGCCAAACAUAAUAGAUUUUUACCAAAACAGUCAACUAAUAUGAUAGAAAUAUUGUAAAAAUCUCACUAGAGGCAUUUUCACAAUAAAUUCUGAAAACAAUAUAAUAUUACGGACUUGAGGAUAAAAGAGACUAAUAGAUGGGACAUUUAGAGAGAUGAUAUAAUGUGUUAUUUACAAUGGAGAAAAUAGUGAUUAUUUACAUCUGAGUCAUAUAACAAAUAAAAGUGAGCCAAUAACAAAACAAAAACUCAACAUUCCUUUCUAAGUAAGUGUAAAGCACAUGUUAACAAGUAUUCAAGAAAAAAGCUAAAUUUGUUUGGGAGAAUUUUUUAUACAAUUUUAAAUUUUUGAUUCGUAAUUACAAUAUUUUAUAAAGGAGUGAUAACAGGUUCCAUUUGAGAUUUUUUUUUUUUUACUUUUUUAAAUCAUUAACUCCUCUUAAUGCUGAACUUGGAACCCCUAGACAUUCUACUAAGAUCAAUCUUCUUAAAGCAAGAAAAACAUAAAAUUUUAGCUUUAACACAAAUAUCAUAUUAAUGUCAUACAAAAAUUCGGUCAGGUAUCAACAACAUUUUUGUACUUUUUAUAUCAAUAAAGGAUUACAUAAUGUGCAGCUCAUUGCUACAAGUUUAAUGCAAAAUGCCAAAUCAAUUUCACUCCAUAUGUUGCAUGCAUUUUUGCGUAGGAUAAUUAAAAACUUUUAAAAAAAUUGUUGGGGGAAAAAAAUCAGUCAAAAAACAUUAUUAUGAAGUGUCAAACAUGUGCUGAAAAGUUAAAAAUGGAUUUUUCAUUACUGAAGCUUUUCUUAACAAUAAUGAAUGUAGCCAAUAUAUACAUAUGUUACUUUCCAGAGGUGUGCCUGAGACAAAGGUUUUAUAUAUAUACUAAUAUGUGAUAACUGCUGUUUCUUAUUUGUGUUUGUAACUAUGUGUUGUUUAUUAUAUUUGUAAAAGAAUAUCAUAUUACAAUGAUAUUAUAUUAUGCUCCUUGUGAGCCCAUUCUAUGGAAAUAAAGCAUCUCUUCUUCUUCUUCUAUACAAUAAUUGAAAUCAUAAACAAGCUUUAAAAUUUUGCCCUAUAUAAUAUUUUCAUACAGAAUUAACACAACAAGCAACAUUUUCAUAUAGAAAUAACAAGCAAAGAAUAUCAUUAAAAAAAUCACAAAAUUUGAGCAUAAUUUAUAACAUUUCUUAAGAAUAAAAGCUGCAGUUUACGAGAGGUAUCUUUCACAAUCCUGAAGUAUAGAGGUGUUUGUUUCUAAUCAAACAAUGUUAACUACAAUGCAUGUAUUUGUUUGUUAUGUUUUUGUUGUCGGGUUGUCAUCAAAGGAUGUAUAUGCAGUAUAAUGGGUUAUUAAUUGAAUGUUUCCUUUUCAUGCUAGAUCAGUAGCAUGCUUAGUUGAACUUCAGCAACAUUAAUACAUCAUAUUCCCGAACAAAUUAUACAGUUAUAUGUAACUUAUGUUCAUGUAAUAAAGUUUCAAAUGGGAACAUAUAUCAUUUUCAUUGCAAAAGUAUUAUGAGGCAUGCAUGUAAAUUUAUCGAGAAAUGAUCUAUUGACCAAUAUUUACAUUUCAUUUGUUUCAAAAUCUAUGUUUCAUGUCUUGUACUGAAUGAAAAUUAAUUGAGGACAUAAAAAAAGUGAAUACUGACAACAGUCAUAGCUAACAAAAUUAAUGUUAGAAACAAACCACUCAUAUUAUUAUUAACUUUGGUUUAAACAGGUUUUCCCUGAUUCAUUUAAAAAUCUCAUUAAUUAACUUAUUUACAUACAAGUUUUUUUCUAAGGCUAAUUUUACCAUAUUACAUUAAUUUAUAAGGCACUUUGGUAUUAAAGUUGGAAAAUUUAGUCAUUAUUUAUCAUUAAAUUGAACAUUAAAAUAAUAGCCGCUAUAUUUGACAAUCAAUAAUUCAAUUUUCCAGUUAAUAAACAACAAUUACAUGUAGGUUUCUAUAUUAAAAUUAAUUAAUUUGUUAUAAUGAGAAACCUUACUUUUACCACUAUUUGUGUGUAUAUAUUUGUAUAAAAAAAUGUAUACAUUGUAUUUGUAAAUGCACAACAGAAUUUAGAAACUUUUCCAGAGACAACAUGGAACAUACAAUUUUUUUUGGCAAAAGAAGAAUGUUAAACAAAAAUAUUUGAAACAAGAAUCAAUAGAUGUUGACAUUUAAAAUUUAAAAAAAUCUUAUCCAAUUGAAAUGCUUAAAAAAACCUAUAUUGAAGAGAAUUUAGAAAUGUCAUAAAAGCAUCAAACCUGUCUAGGAUUGCCCAUAUUUUGUGUGAAUUAAAAAAUAGGUUUUUAUAAAGCAGUAUAUGGAGCAUUUCUGAGUUAUUUAAAAGUUUAAUAUUCAAUCUUAAUUUAUAAUCUUAUAUUCCAUAACUGUCAUAAAUUGUUUAAGAAAUGACUGUAAUAUUUUUUCUGUCUAUGAAGAAAUAACAUAAAAAAUUUGGUGCACACAUAAUAACGCGCUUAGCGGGUUAUUUAAAG
rnacentral:lncRNA from 1 species